CCGAGGGCAUCGCUACCUCCCUGCCAUAAAAACAAACCGCUCAUCAGCUCCGCUCGGUGUGUGCCAUCGAGAGAAGUCGCCGCGGUGCGAACGGGCACCAUCUGUCCUGCCAUUCCGGGAGACGCAGAUAUAUUUCUUUAGACAGGCUACACACACGAACCUGGAGUAAUACAAACCCUCCCGUGUUGUUGCCCUCGCAAAGUGGCCGGUCCUGAAGCAUCUGAUCGGGUUUGUGUGUGUGCGCGCGCGAGUGAGAGCGAGCCACGCAGAGAGCGCUGCCAUCCAAAAGGGGAAAGAAGAGCUCAAGCUGAGAGACUUAUUAAUUGCUAAGAGCUGCUCUGCCACCAGCCAUUUCGAGUUUGCACGGUUUAUUCCUCAUGAAGGGGAGGAAUGAAACGUGGGCAAAUGCGGGGGAGAAAAUGUGCCGGCGAAGAGGAAGGAAGGAAGGAGUGGUGAAAGGAGAGGAGGAGGAGGAGGAGGGUUUAUUAAGCGAUCGCCUUGUCCCCUGAGUCCGAGCCGGCUGGGAAUUAGUAACAGCGAGAUAGCGGAGGCUGUAUCCCUCCCUCUUCCUCCGCUUUCCUUUUCCUGGAGCGCUCAGACCCCCUGACAAUUAUUACCCUGGUAUCAACACGGACAACGAGCUGUAUUCAUCAAACCUCAUUUGGGAAAUUGA